CUGUAAAAUGGCUGAAAGCAUGUGGCUCCAUACUCAUCUUAUCCAAGAUUUGAUCUCUAUUUCUCGAACAAGUGUUCCUAAAUACCGAGGCUGGUGUUGUGAAGUUGGAUACUUCAUUGUCGUUGAUGACUUAGAGCUCGACUAAUUUUCAGUGAGACAAUGAAGUGGGUGUUGCUCUCUUAGCAACUGAUGGAAAAUCAAAGUGGGAGAAGAAACUUGGACAUUGUGGUUUUCAUUGUAGUUUUCUUAUGGCAUCCUUUUCCAGCCAACGGUGGAAAAUCUGAAUUACUACAACUCCGAAUCCAGAAAUGCUACUUAAAUGUAUGAAUUCAUUAUAAUUGAAUACUUUUUUUUUUGUGAUUUUGAAUCCAAGUAUGAAUUCAGUUAUGAAGUGUUAUGAGUUCAGUCAUGAAUAGGUGUAACAAUGAACUUCUAUUUGAAUUUAUGA